rnacentral:misc_RNA from 1 species
GGUUUGCCAUCAAUAGUUGUCCCUACAUCAAAUAACAGCGGUAAGUUAAAAACUCACAUUAAUCAUAACCAUCCUAUCUAGAUUUCUACAAUCUGUUAAAAAUACAGAUCAAACUAGAAAUAAUCAUAUGCCCAAACAUUCUGCAAACAAGAUUUUUCGAACAGAUCAGAGAAUAUUAAUGUGUCUUUGAAAUUUAGUUAAAAUUUUCUUAAAAGGCAAUGACAAGAGGCUAUGGGUACUCACAGGAUACAAGACAUUUUACUUGUACUUAAAAAUCAUCAAAACAACUUUGUAAAUCAUCCAUUCCAGUAGCCUAAAAAUGUAAACUCCAGAGACAUCCAUGUGAAUCCAAUAAUUUAGAAGACAAACCAAACAUUUAGCAAUGAGGCAAAAAGUCAGUUCCCAGCACAACAACAAGACUCAAUACAAAGACUAGAGAACAG